CAUUUUUUGUGCAUUUGCUUUGACAUAAAAAAGGCAUGUGGUGUGGAUCUCUCCAAAGAAGAAUUGACACAAGUGACCACUAUGACACAUGGAGACAGAUGUUCUCAUUUCUACCAUAGUGAGCACUUACUCAGACUGUCAGAGGUGAAAUUAAAUAUAUUUAGGGCUGGUUGUUGACACAAAUUUAACAAUCGAUUCGAUUUUUGAUUCACAAGGGUUCAUAAAAAUUAGAACCAAUUUAAAAUUGAGAAAUAGAUAUGUCUGGGGGCCGGGGUGCUCUGAUUUAAUUUGCUAACAGUAUUGACGUAAUCAGACAAUUGUUGAUCAUAAAGCACUUAUGCUGGAUGUCACCAAUGUCAUGCAUUCUUAAUGAGUAUUUUUUCACCUCUUCUCUUUUCAAGGUUAUCAACUUCUAUUUGUCCUUGCUAAUGAAGAGAAACAGGGAUCAGCUGGGGAGCCUUAAAGUCUUCUCUUUCAGCACUUUCUUCUACUCAAAGCUUCAGAGUGGUGAAGGCCAUGUAGCAAUGAAGAACUGGACAAAAACUCAGGACCUCUUCCUCUUUGAUCUUGUUUUUGUUCCUUUGCACCUAUCCAUGUACUGGGCUUUGGCUGUAAUUGAUUUCAAAUCCCAGACCAUACAGUGCUAUGACUCAAUGGGUCAAGAGACAUGAUGAUAUCUGUCACGUUGUUAAAGUACCUCACAGAUGAGUACAUGGUCAAGAAAGGAUGCAUCUUGGAGGCUUCCAGGUGGACCAUCGGCCCCGAAUGAGAACUAAUGCAAUUCCUAAACAGGUGAAUGGCAAUGACUGUGGAGUUUUUGUCUGUAAAUAUGCAGACUUCCUUUAUCAAAGAAAGCCACUCACAUUCAGACAGUGUGACGUUCCACUCUUCAGGAAAAUUAUGGUUUGGGAGAUAACACAUCAGAAGAUCCUGUAAGCCCUGAAGCAAUCAUCAGACAUCUUAUGUUCUUUGUGUAAAUUCAAUUUAGGAUGUAAUUAUGAAUAGUUCUGAGAUUAAUAAAAUCUUAGGUUUAACUGCA